UUAUUUGGCUCUUUCAGGGGUUGACCUCAGCAAAUAUGGCUCCUGAGGCAGCUCGGGGCGGCGGUGAGGGCACAGCGUGCCCCUACCCAAGAUGGCGCCCGUGCAGGCCUGCUGGGCUCGUACCCUGAACAAAGAUGGCCGCCGGCGAGGACGGUGCCUACCUGCCCUUACCCAAGAUGUCGGCCCCGCCUCAGCGGGGCGGUGCGGGGCGACAUGGGGCGGUGAAGGGCCGUGAAGGGCCGUGAGGGGAGCCGGGGCUACUCUCUGGGGGCGUCUUCCACUCCGGGAGUCGCCUGGAAAAGGCUGGCGAGGGCUGGGCUCGGCCGGGUGAGAGCGGCGUGGGCAGGCGGCUGGAGGACAAGUACGGGGCCGGGGUGCGAUCACCGGCGUGAGGGCCGGGUAUGGCAGGCCUAACCUCCCGCCUGGUGCCCGGGAGCGUCCCGGACGCUGUCCUGGGAGCUGUGGGUGCUUCGAGAGUGUCAGAGAAAAUUCCUCAAGGUGUGAGGUUAUUCCAUAUUUUUCUAGUGCUUGUUUCUGAAAGCAUCAGUUUUCAGCUGUGAGCUGCUGGGGAUCGCAGACUGUUUGAGAUGAAGAGACCAUUCAGUGGUGAACGAACUUGGGAAAGGCAGCACUACUGUCAGAAGUUUUCAUCUGCUCUAGAAGCAUUUCCUGAAAACCAAAUGGGGACCUAGAAACUUUAAAAGAUUGGAAACAACUCCCAGGUGGUAUUUAAGAGAAUGUCAUUAUUAACCAGCCUUUCCUAAAGUCUUCUGGUUUCACCAGUGA